AUUUUUGGCGGCUGUGCGCGGGAGGUAUUCGUACCUGCCGGGUCUACCGUGUGCCUGGUCUUCCACCCCGCGUACAGUUGCCACCCUA
ncrna:Pseudomonas putida F1 C4 antisense RNA